AUAUCCCUGCGGUGCGCGUUGGAAGUAUUGAUGAUUGGUGAACCAACAUCAAUCUAAUGGGGACCGAACUCCUUUUUACGCAUGGCGUCUAAAGGGAGGUUCCCACCUGAAACCAAAUGGGUUCAGCCCAUCAGUUCCAACGGCACACGGCGGGGAUUUU
rnacentral:other from 1 species